rnacentral:rRNA from 1 species
CAGUAGCCGCGGGAAUACGGAGGGUGCAAGCGUUAAUCGGAAUUACUGGGCGUAAAGCGCGCGUAGGUGGUUUGGUAAGAUGGAUGUGAAAUCCCCGGGCUCAACCUGGGAACUGCAUCCAUAACUGCCUGACUAGAGUACGGUAGAGGGUGGUGGAAUUUCCUGUGUAGCGGUGAAAUGCGUAGAUAUAGGAAGGAACACCAGUGGCGAAGGCGACCACCUGGACUGAUACUGACACUGAGGUGCGAAAGCGUGGGGAGCAAACAGGAUUAGAGACCCCCGUAGUCCCUGUCUCUUAUAC